rnacentral:rRNA from 1 species
AACGAACGCUGGCGGCGUGUUUAAGACAUGCAAGUCGCACGGGAUCAUUUUGGUAGCAAUACUCGGAUGGUCCAGUGGCGCACGGGUGAGUAACACGUGAAUGACAUGCCCUUCAGUAGGGGAUAGCCCAGGGAAACUUGGAUUAAUACCCCAUGGUCUCGCGAGAAUAAAGGUGGCGCAAGCUGCCGCUGGAGGAUUGGCUCGCGUUCUAUCAGCUUGUUGGCGGGGUAACGGCCCACCAAGGCUACGACGGAUAACUGGUCUGAGAGGACGAUAAGGCACACUGGAACUGAGACACGGUCCAGACACCUACGGGUGGCAGCAGUCGAGAAUAAUUCACAAUGGGGGCAACCCUGAUGGUGCAACGCCGCGUGGAGGAUGAAGGUCUUCGGAUUGUAAACUCCUGUCAUCCGGGAGCAAGACCUGGCGGUCAAUAGCCGGCAGGGUUGAUAGUACCGGAAGAGGAAGGGACGGCUAACUUCGUGCCAGCCGCCGCAGUAACAC